UGCAAAACUUUAACCAAGUUGUGACGCUAACGCCAGGGUGAGUAGAAUAGCUAGACUAUUCUUCGAAUGGUUAUUCUUGGAAUAGUUGAGCUUAAAAUAAAAGCAAUGAUUUUUAAGUUACAUAUUCAAACAAUGAAAUUUAACCAAAAUAUACAAGCAAUGAAUUUUAACUAAAAAUGAACAAGCAAUGAAUAUUUACCAAUCACAUAAUUGGUAGGCUUUUAAGUGUUACCUAUGUAUCAAAUACAUCAAAUUGUUAUGUCUUUGAUAGUUUAUGUGUACUUUCUUUCAGUUCUGACUCACAAAAAGGCUACAAAGGGAGUGAAUCAAAUUAUUUGAAUGUACCUCUGAUAAUUUUAAGCCAUUUCCGAAGUACUCUAAUCAGUACAAUCAACUGGAGAUACACCGGUCUGUAUCAAGGAAUAGUUUCCAUGACUUGUGAACACUCAUAUCUGUGACAUCACUGACAAUAGGCUUCUCUGGCACUCCUGGGAAUUCGGUCAAGUCUGGUGGUGAUUUUAUAAAACUCUUUCCUUCAGCUGAAAUCCAUAAAAAAAGAUUUGCAAUGUCAUUAUCAUAAUAGGAAGAAAAGUGCAUGUUCUUAUCCCCCCCACCCCACAAACAAUGUAUCAUAAAACAUCAUUUGAGAGAUGUUUUAAAAAACAUAUUACAUAAUGACUGUUGUUCUCUUCAUUAUCACAAUGCUACAAAUAGAAACAGAGAGGUGAAUGCUUACAUUCUACAAUUUUGCAGUCAUUGUUGUUUCCUAUUUUUACUGCCCAAGCCCCCAUAUUCUGCAAUUUUCAAACCUGGAAAACAAAGGAAAGAAAUUAAUUGCAACAAACAUCAGCUUACUUUAGCCUCUGCUCAUUUAAAUUACUGUAUAACAGGUUAUUUUUACUGCUGUAAAAGUUUACAUUUUUGGGGCAAAAACACACGAUUUCAUUUAAUAAGAUUCUAAAUUUUUUUGAAACCUCAAGGUCUAUCAGUUUAUUUGACUUUACAUGGCAAAUUUAUACGAGACCAAUACUUACGAAUCUGAUUUGGUCAUAAAAAAUAGUAAAAAUGAGCAGCAGGUAAAAAAUACCCAUUCUAACACAACUCUAUUUGAUUUCCAGUUAAACAAAGAAGGAAUUUAAGCUCUGUAUAUUCUGCGAUAAACAAUGGUUGAAGCAAGGACCGGUAAGAAAGCAUUAUGACGUCAAAUUGCCACAUGACAUCCAAUACAUUACUCCUGGGGGAGAGGCCAUUUUUUGUACCAGCGUAUGAUGGGUUUCAGAUCUGCUGUUGCCUGGCAAAACAGAAGUGCCACUUCAUCCUCCUCCUUUAGUGACUGGUCCAAAUCGGCUGAUUGGGAAAAGUUUAAGGUCAUUAUCUGGAAAGAUAGUCAUGAUCCACUGAAGUGUGCAAAAAAAUAGAAGAUGUUAGGGGGGGAACAGGGUGUUAUAAUCAUGCAGGAUAGCAGAGUAUACAAGAAUAUCUGUGAGAGACACAAGGGUGUCUGUAUGAUGUGACAUCAUGUCAUUAUUUGUGCCAGACUACUAUUUAUAGAUUUCUUGGUUGUGUCAAUCCGCAAAAAAAAAAAUCCUAACAAACAAAUCAACUUGUCAUUUUUGCUCUUAUUGAAACUAAAAUUCAAUGACAUCAAAUGAAAUAGCCUUUGAGACAAAAACUGCAAAAUCUGAGGCAAAUGAAAAUACUGGUAAUGAUUUUACAGUAAUACUGUUACCAGUUUGUUCAGUUUUGAAUAGGCAAAAGAUUUAUGAAAGAACUCUAAUUUAAGUUUUGGCACUUUUAGUUCGUUAUUACUGUUUGAGCAUAGGUAGUGAUUAUCAAUAUGAUUUUAUUUUGAAAUUUUUCUUUCGAAUUGUCAGGUGUUGUUUCAUCAUUAAUAGAUUUGUACAUAAA
rnacentral:lncRNA from 1 species